rnacentral:rRNA from 1 species
GACGAACGCUGGCGGCGCGCCUAACACAUGCAAGUCGAACGAGCGAGAGAGAGCUUGCUUUCUCGAGCGAGUGGCGAACGGGUGAGUAACGCGUGAGGAACCUGCCUCAAAGAGGGGGACAACAGUUGGAAACGACUGCUAAUACCGAAUAAGUUCCAAGAGCCGCAUGGCCCAUGGAGAAAGUGCUCUACCUGUAAGCUAUCGCCUGAAGAGGGGUUUGCGUCUGAUUAGCUGGUUGGAGGGGUAAACGGCCCACCAAAGGCGACGAUCAGUAGCCGGUCUGAGAGGAUGAACGGCCACACUGGAACUGAGACACGGUCCAGACUCCUACGGGAGGCAGCAGUGGGGAAUCUUCCGCAAUGGGCGAAAAG